rnacentral:lncRNA from 1 species
GCUCAACUGUACGGUCAAAAAACAGACAAAGGAAUUCAAGAGAUACCUGAUGCAGAUCUGGAGCAUAAAACGGAACUUUGUAAACAAGUUUUGAAAUUGGCGAGACAGCUCUUCGUAGCGGAAUGGCGCGUCCAAGGUGCUUUGCUUUUUGAACUUCAUGCUGCGGUGGCGGAGAGGUGCCGCCGCGAUGCUGAUGCGGGACUUCUAGACCAAGCAGCGCUCAUUAGCAGGCUCAUGGAAUCUCGGUAUUACUUGGAAGAAGCUUUGAAGAUGCUCAAAAAUGAGCCCGAGGCUCUACCAGAGGGGAAAAUUUCCAUCCAGUGCCAAAUAAAUCUGACAGAGUUGGACUCGCUGUUGCAAAGAAUUCGCCAUUCUAUGGGGAAUGCCCAAUUUGAAAAUAAGGACAAAAUAAAUACAAAAUAAAAAAAUUUAAUUAUUUUUCCAUUCAAGAGAAUUCUAUUUAAAUUGAAUGAUCAUUGCUCAACCGAGGGAAUGUUACUUAAAAGUCAAAGUCCAGUUACUAAUAUGAAAAAUAACGGGCGGAAGGGAAAGGAAAAAAUAGAACAUAAAAAGGAAAAAAUAUCAUGUGAAGAGAAUAAGAUAGGAGGGACAUCGGAUCAUUCACAACGUGUUGGUCCGUAAAAGGGAUUUUCUUCAGGUGAGAACACAAAUUACACGAUAGUUUGCAUAUAUACACUGUACUGUAGGUAUCAGUGGCGUGGCGUGAAUGAACGAUUAUCGAUAUCUCGCCAUUUGAAGCUAUGGUAAAGAAUCGAUUACUAAGGUGUUCGCUGCGAACACCCUGAUAAUCGAUCUUUUUUCAUGGGUUUGAGUGGCGUAUCAAUCGAUAUAUCGCAAAGCACGCCACGCCACUGUAUAUGUAUUCUGUAGUCACCGAGGAAGGGAAGGUACUCAGCCGAGCGAAGGAUUAAUGCUGCCGUGCUAAGGGAGAACGCCGUAUGAACAUUCAAGAGUUGCCAAAUUUCCCCUGAUAAAACAUAUAUUUUCGACAACAUUAAUGCUUAUUUUUCCUUGAAAUUUUCAGAUGUUUUAGAUUUAAUUGCGUACAAAAUUGUGUGAAAAUUUUGCAAAAUAAUACGCACAAUUUUUCCAGUAAUUUCGGUUUUUAUCGGAGGAAACUUGGCAACGUCUAAGGCUCAUACGGCGUUCUUUCUUAGCACGGCAGAAUGCAAUAUAAACAUUUUGAAGUUGCCUGAUAUUCACAUAAAAUCCACAUUUUCCGAAAAGCUUCCAGGAAUUAAUAUUUCUCAGGGAUAUUUAUUUAUAAUUUAAUUUAUGGUAUCAAAAAUUUUCAAUUACAGUUUUUGAAAACCUCAAAAGAGGAAAAGCUUAUAAAGGGAGCGGCAACACUUAAAUGCUCUCACACUAAGCGUCAAUUACCUAAUUCCUAAGGCACGUAUAUAUGCCGGGAUUUUUAAAAUGGACUUCCUUUCAAAUUCUAAUCUAAGUUAAAUGAUUAGCUGAUCAAGUCAAAACAGCAAAAUGCCUUUUUUUUAUGAAGUACCUAACGAAAGUUUUGAGAAAGCAAUACGUGAGCGUAAAAAUUGACGUCAUUACAUUGAAAAAGCAGUAAGUCCGCAAUCUUCCGCAAGAGAACCGUGCUUACUCCUGACUUGAGUAAAAUAUACCCCCUUUUCUCCGUACACUUUACCUUUGGUAACUCUUUUUUUGUGCGUCCAAAAUAUAAGCACGCAAGCCUGCGAGACAUUACGCGUGCUGCUGUCACGUCUGCCUUGAAAGUGAAAAAGACCUUAAUCGUUUAGCCGAAGAUGAAAUUUGUCACUUUGUAAUCAUGCAAAACAAUUUCAAAGAGUCUUCUUUAUUAUUAUCGACACUUUUACACAGCAAGACGGUUUCGUUUAAUAGAAUUCCCUCUCUGACGCUAGUUGGUCCAUUUCUUUAGAAACUCACCAUUGCAACCACCUUUUUCAAUUUGUGACCAAUUUUCAAAGAGACCUGAGGGACUAAUCCACCUCACCCCUAUAUUUCACGAUUAUGUAGCAUGGUGUUAACGAUUACGGUGUCAACAAACAGUUCUUCUAAGUUUUUGUUGACACCAUGAUCAUCCAAAAUUAAAAAAAUUCUGAUUCUUAUGAAAUCUGAUCACGGCGCAUACGAUCACGACGUCAACGAAACUCGAAACUCGAAACUCAAAAUUCAAAACUCAAAACUCAAAAACUCAAAAACUCAAAAACUCAAAAACUCAAAACUCAAAACUCAAAUCUCAAAACUCAAAACUUAAAACAUCAUUCAAAUUUCAAGUCUUGUUUUCCUUGUGUUAUUUACCUACUCAAACCUAACCUAACCGAUUUUCACAGAACUUAACUUUCCCCGACCUUACCCUACCUAACUUCACUUAAUCUAACCAACAUGUCCUGACCUAAACUAAUAACCUAAUCUAACUAAAUGUGAACCAAACCUCUCUUGUACACUAAAUUUUCUAAUUUUACUCAUAAGAAAGAUAUUUUUCUGUUUGUUGACACCAUGCUCAGGGCCCAUUUUUGCGUUUUACUGCCUGAGCACGACGUCAACGAU